CUGGGGCUAGGGCUCAGUGGUAGAGCACGUGCCUUGCAUGUAUGAGGCAUUGGGUUCGAUCCUCAGCACCACA
rnacentral:tRNA from 1 species